GUCAUGGAGGACACUAUUUCUGCUACACAAAGGCCAGCAAUGGAUUGUGGUACCGGAUGGACGAUGAAUCUGUGCAGCUGUGUUCCAUUGACACAGUUCUCAGGCAGCAAGCCUACCUGCUGUUCUAUGCCAGAUGCUCUGAUCUGAGAAUUGGAGAAAGGCCUUCUUCCUCACUGGCACCAUCACAUGCCCCUUCCUUCCUCAGUCAGUGUGUGGCCAGCAGCAAGCAGGCGGGCUCUGUUGGACCACAGGGUCUGACUGGUAGGACUAAGGGCAUGAAGGACACUGGCAGGGAGCGGUCCCGGAGCAGAUUCCCUCUGUGGGGCAGGGAUCUCCGCAGCUGGUCUGGG